rnacentral:lncRNA from 1 species
AUCUGAUCUUUGUGAAAGGGUCAAUCCACCCCAAAGGGGUUGUGACCCACAGGUUGAGAACCAUUUAGAUCCUUAGCCCUUCCUGAAGCUGUCAGCCAGACUUUAAGGUCUGAGUAUUUGCAAUGUAAAGUUGCUGUUAGGAUCUGGAGAAGGUAAAACUUUUUUUUUUUUUUUUUGGAUCCACCUGCUUCUGUCUCUUAACCAAGUGCUGGGGUUAAAGUCGUGUGUGCCACUACCUGUCUGUCUCUCUUCCCUUUCUUCCUUCCUUCUUUUCUUUUUUUUUGUUUGUUUGUUUCUCUUGUGUAUCUUUGGCUGGUGUGCACAACCACUGCUGGCUUCUAUUUUUUUCUUUAAGGCAAAACUUGUUGACUGGAAUUGAGCUCCUAGCCUCGGGGAAUGUGUCAGGGUUUAAAGUCACCUGAGGAGAAUUACGCCAUCACGUGUAUGUGGAGCCUGAGGUGCUUCCUCUUUGUGUGUUUUUCUUAUCACCUAUUUACAGGCAUUGCAGCUCUUUGAGUCCCACGCAGGACAUCUUGGCUCCGAGCUCUUCAGCAAGUUUGCACUGCCUUACAUCCGUGAUGUGGCCAAGCGAGUGAAGGCUGGGUUGCAGAAGGCGGGCCUGGCACCAGUGCCCAUGAUCAUCUUUGCCAAGGAUGGACAUUUUGCCCUGGAAGAGCUGGCCCAGGCUGGCUAUGAGGUAGUUGGACUUGACUGGACAGUGGCUCCAAAGAAAGCCCGGGAACGUGUUGGAAAGACAGUGACUCUGCAGGGGAACCUGGAUCCCUGUGCCCUGUAUGCAUCUGAGGAAGAGAUUGGUCGACUGGUGCAGCAGAUGCUGAAUGACUUUGGGCCACAGCGCUACAUUGCUAACCUAGGGCAUGGGCUUUACCCUGACAUGGACCCAGAACACGUAGGAGCCUUUGUGGAUGCAGUACACAAACACUCACGCCUGCUUCGACAGAAUUGAGUAUGUGCUUUUCUGCUCAAGUACCACCGACACAGAUUGUUUCCAGGAGAAUAAAACUUCCAGAAACUUCCAGAGUUGGAGUCUGGCGUGCUGCUUUGUUUGUAAAGGCUUAUGUCCUUGUCCUCAGGUCUUUCUGAAGCCCCACACCCUCCACGCUCCUCUCCUGCCCAAUCCCCCCCCCCCCACACACACACACACGCGCGCUGGAGGCCUCAGACUCGCAGAGAUCCACCUACCUGCCUCUCAAGUGCUGGAAUUAAAGGCGCAUACCACC